rnacentral:rRNA from 1 species
GAACGAGAAAGCGGGGGCAACCUCGUGAGUAAAGUGGCGUACGGGUGAGUAACACGUGGAUUAUCUACCCUCUAGUGGGGGAUAACCCUGGGAAACCGGGGCUAAUACCGCAUAAGCUCGAGAGAGGAAAGCAGCAAUGCGCUGGAAGAGGAGUCCGCGGCCGAUUAGCUAGUUGGUAGGGUAAAGGCCUACCAAGGCUACGAUCGGUAGCCGGCCUGAGAGGGCACACGGCCACACUGGCACUGAAACACGGGCCAGACUCCUACGGGAGGCAGCAGUGGGGAAUCUUGCACAAUGGGGGCAACCCUGAUGCAGCGACGCCGCGUGAGCGAUGAAGCCCUUCGGGGUGUAAAGCUCUUUCGGCAGGGAAGAUUAUGACGGUACCUGCAGAAGCAGCUGCGGCUAACUACGUG